CACCCAUUCCCGAGCCGCCGCCACCUCUGGUCUCCUCGUAUUCUGCAGCGAGCCAACCCCCUUCCUCCACCUCUUCCCCUCCGAUCCAGCCAACUCAUGCUCUAAACCGCCAGAUCUUUGAUCCAACGACCGAGGGCCAACCAUCUGUUCAGCCAGCUCCCGAAGAGAGGCGCCCCUCCUCUGCUCGCUCGUCCCCGAGCACCUCGCUCCACCAGCACCGCCUCGCUCGAGUACUAGACGCCGACGGCGACAACCACCACCGAACCAGCAGGCCCUGCGCCUCAUCCUUCUCCUUCCCCUCGUCCUCGUGUUCUUCCUCCCUCUCUCCUUUCUCUUUUCUCUCUCCCUCUCACAUCUCUCUCUUCUAGGUACCCAGGAGCUCCCCGUUACCAUGAACGCCUUCUUGAACCGGAGCUCGCCGCUGCCGGGAAUCGCCAUGCGUCCCCGGAGAUCGCGUCCUCGUCCCGGUUCCUAGACCCCGCCAUGGAUCCCCGCGGCCGAGCUCUCCCUGUCGCUGGUUGCCUCACCACCGUCCAAGAACUGCCUCCAGACGGCCUCGCCGUUCCCCAGCCUCGCCUGCAUCAGGAUCCGUCGGAUCCUGGCCUUCCCUUCAUUGGCAACCUUGUCCCUGCACUCAGCCUCGUCAACGACCGAGGUGGAGCGCCCUGUGUGCGUUGACCACGGUCACUCCGCGCGUGGGCCAGCUGGCCAUGCCAGGCCCAGCGCUGCCCCCUGCCGGCCUGCCUCCUAUCCAUCGAACGGGCCAAGGCCAAUGCCCUAGUUCGUUGCGAUUGUGAGGAUCCGUUCGACUAUGUUGGUUCGUCUACUUCAUG